rnacentral:rRNA from 1 species
AUUGAACGCUGGCGGCAGGCCUAACACAUGCAAGUCGAGCGGCAGCGGGAAAGUAGCUUGCUACUUUUGCCGGCGAGCGGCGGACGGGUGAGUAAUGCCUGGGGAUCUGCCCAGUCGAGGGGGAUAACUACUGGAAACGGUAGCUAAUACCGCAUACGCCCUACGGGGGAAAGCAGCGGACCUUCGGGCCCUGCGCGAUUGGAGGAACCCAGGUGGGAUUAGCUAGUUGGUGAGGUAAUGGCUCACCAAGGCGACGAUCCCUAGCCGGUCUGAGAGGAUGAUCAGCCACACUGGAACUGAGACACGGUCCAGACUCCUACGGGAGGCAGCAGUGGGGAAUAUUGCACAAUGGGGGAAACCCUGAUGCAGCCAUGCCGCGUGUGUGAAGAAGGCCUUCGGGUUGUAAAGCACUUUCAGCGAGGAGGAAAGGUUGAUGCCUAAUACGUAUCAACUGUGACGUUACUCGCAGAAGAAGCACCGGCUAACUCCGUGCCAGCAGCCGCAGGUAA